rnacentral:rRNA from 1 species
AGAGUUUGAUCCUGGCUCAGGACGAACGCUGGCGGCGUGCCUAAUACAUGCAAGUCGAGCGGAACCAGAGGAGCUUGCUCCUUCUGGUUUAGCGGCGGACGGGUGAGUAACACGUGGGCAACCUGCCCUGCAGAUCGGGAUAACUCCGGGAAACCGGUGCUAAUACCGAAUAGUUUGCGGCCUCUCCUGAGGCUGCACGGAAAGACGGUUUCGGCUGUCACUGCAGGAUGGGCCCGCGGCGCAUUAGCUAGUUGGUGGGGUAAUGGCCUACCAAGGCGACGAUGCGUAGCCGACCUGAGAGGGUGAUCGGCCACACUGGGACUGAGACACGGCCCAGACUCCUACGGGAGGCAGCAGUAGGGAAUCUUCCGCAAUGGACGAAAGUCUGACGGAGCAACGCCGCGUGAGUGACGAAGGUUUUCGGAUCGUAAAACUCUGUUGUGAGGGAAGAACAAGUACCAACUAACUACUGGUACCUUGACGGUACCUCACCAGAAAGCCACGGCUAACUACGUGCCAGCAGCCGCGGUAAU